CGAGACCUCAGGUCAGGCGGGGCUACCCGCUGAGU
rnacentral:rRNA from 1 species